AUUGAACGCUGGCGGCAGGCCUAACACAUGCAAGUCGAGCGAGCGGCGGACGGGUGAGUAAUGUAUGGGGACUGCCCGAUAGAGGGGGAUAACUACUGGAAAGGGUGGCUAAUACCGCAUACUAUCGGAUAACCCAUAUUGGAUUAGCUAGUAGGAGGGGUAAAGGCUCACCUAGGCGACGAUCUCUAGCUGUGUUGAGAGGAUGAUCAGCCACACUGGGACUGAGACACGGCCCAGACUCCUACGGAGGAAGCAGUGGGGAAUAUUGGACAAUGGGCGCAAGCCUGAUGCAGCCAUGCCGCGUGUAUGAAGAAGGUCUUAGGGUUGUAAAGUACUUUCAGCGGGGAGGCGUUACCAGCAGAAGAAGCACCGGCUAACUCCGUGCCAGCAGCCGCGGUAAUUC
rnacentral:rRNA from 1 species